rnacentral:lncRNA from 1 species
UUCCCUGUGCUCUAUAGUAGGUCCUUGUUGGUUAUCUAUUUUAUAUAUCAUGUGUGUAUUACAGUGCUCUUUCCAUACCUCUUUACAUGGCUUUCCUUCCUCCUUAAACCCAAAGUUCAAAUGUUACCUUUGCAGAAAGCACUUCCCUGAUCUCUGUCCAGCAAGGGGCCUCACCCAAUUACUCUAGCUCAUCACUCUGUUUUUGUCAUAGAUUUAUGACAAUCUCCAGUGAUCUUGUUUACUUAUUUAAUAUCUGUUUAGAGCACAGGGAUUUUGUCUGUGUUCUUUGCUGCUGUAUUCCCAGUGCCUCACAUGUAGUAAAUGCUCCAUAAAUGUUUCUGAAAAUGACUGGUGUUUCUCAUCAUAAUAAGGAAUGAGGAUGAGUUUUAGCCACAUGGAUCCUGACAUUACUAUGAGACAUUCAAGUAGAAAUGUCUAGUAUACAUGGAGAGCUCUGAGCUACAGACAGUGGAUUAGGAGUUAUCUGAUGAUAGUGGUAGAUGGAAUCAUGUGAGAGUAGAGGCCGUAUGAAGAUAGGAUAGAAUGAGAAGAAACCUUGAAGGAUUUCAGUACUUACAAGUAGCCAGGGGAGUUCCUGUCGUGGCUCAGUGGUUAACAAAUCCUACUAGGAACCAUGAGGUUGCGGGUUCGAUCCCUGGCCUUGCUCAGUGGGUUAAGGAUCCGGCGUUGCCGUGAGCUGUGGUGUAGGCUGGCAGCUACAGCUCCGAUUGCACCCCUAGCCUGGGAACCUUCAUAUGCUGUGGUACAGCCCUAGAAAAUGCAAAAAGACAAAAAGACAAAAAAAAAAAAAAAAAAAAAGUAGCCAGGGAAAGAGUUCCUGCUGUGGAACAGUGGGUUAGGGAUCCCGUUUCUCUCUGUGGAGGUGCUGUUUCAAUCCUUGGCCUGGGGCAGUGGGUUAAGGAUCUGGCAUUACUGCAGCUGUGACAUGUGUAGGUCACAGCUGCAGCUUGGAACUGAUCCCUGGCCUAGGAAUUUCCAUAUGCUGUGAAUGCAGCUGAAAAAGAAAAGCAGGGGAAAAAAAAAGUAGCCAGAGAAAAAAGGGUUUAAGUAGUAAGUUUAAAACAAACAAACAAACAAACAAAAAAACGUUGUAUCCUUCCAAUUCUACUACAUUUGGUUUUUUUUUAUAUAUAAAUUUUAAAAUACUAUGUAAUAUAGUGUAUUUGAAAAUUCACUAUUGGGAGUCAGGAGACCUGGACUCUAAUCAUUCAAAUCAUCACAUUAUAUAGAACUGAGCACUGGACACUUGUGGUGAGCUGUGGGAAAAGCUCACAAUGAUUUCUCCUUUUCUGCAAAUUGUCCUAAUGUACAAGAGUACAUGGCUUCCCAAGCCAUAUUUACUCCCUUACUAUCACUGAUCUGGGCAGGGGGUUCAGAAACUGAUUAACUAUGAAGCUAAUAAAAGUGUAGCUUUAGGGCCCCUAAUUGCAUAGGUCCCUCCAUUCUUUAAGAAAGUCCUCCAAAUUGUAUAUACUUCAAACUAUAAAAUCUAGGUAUUAGUAGGUAAGAUAUUAGUUGCUCAUUGGAACUAUCAAAAUCUCCAAAGAUUAUCCUUGAAUGCAUAGUAUCCAAGUCCUUAUAUAAUUUUCUCCCUUGAAUCUGGGCUAGCCCUAUGAUUCAUUUUUGACCAGUAGAACAGGACUGAAGUCACCCAAAGCUAGGCUAUAACAAGCCUUGCAGCUUCUACCUGCAUCUUUUGGAAUGCUUACUCUGGUAGAAGCCAGUUGCUAUUUAAGAAGUCUUACUACCCUAAGAUUGCCAUGUUGUUUCAAGCUAACCUCAUGGAAAAACUGUUUAGGGAGAGAAAAGUACUCAGCAAGCCCCUGGCCGUUCCAGGUUAUGCCAGCAGAUGCCAAACUUGGGAGCAAAGAAGCCACCUUGGACAUUCAGCCUAGUUGAGCCUUCAGAUGAUUCUAUCACUAACUACCAUUUGAAGGCAACCACAGAAGAACCCAAGCAAGAGCUGCCCAGUUGAACCCAGAGUUCCUGUCGUGGCUCAGUGGUUAACAAAAUCGACUAGGAACCAUGAGGUUGCAGGUUCGAUCCCCAGCCUUGCUCAGUGGGUUAAGGAUCCAGCAUUGCCGUGAGCUGUGGUAUAGGUCGAAGACACGGCUCAGAUCCCGAGUUGCUGUGGCUCUGGCAGAAGACAGGGUCUACAGUGCCAAUUAGACCCCUAGCCUGGGAACCUCCAUAUGCCGUGGGAGUGGCCCUAGAAAAGGCAAAAAAAG